ACGCUGGCGGCAUGCCUAACACAUGCAAGUCGAACGUGAUCCAGGCUUCGGUCUGGUGAAAGUGGCAGACGGGUGAGUAACGCGUGGGAACCUGCCCUAUGGUAGGGAAUAACCGCGGGAAACUGCGGCUAAUACCCUAUGAGUCCUUCGGGAGAAAGAUUUAUCGCCAUAGGAGGGGCCCGCGUCGGAUUAGGUAGUUGGUGGGGUAACGGCCUACCAAGCCUUCGAUCCGUAGCUGGUCUGAGAGGAUGAUCAGCCACACUGGGACUGAGAUACGGCCCAGACUCCUACGGGAGGCAGCAGUGGGGAAUAUUGGACAAUGGGGGCAACCCUGAUCCCGCAAUGCCGCGUGGGUGAUGAAGGCCUUCGGGUUGUAAAGCCCUUUCGGCGGGGAAGAUGAUGACGGUACCCGCAGAAGAAGCCCCGGCUAACUUCGUGCCAGCAGCCGCGGUAAUACGAAGGGGGCUAGCGUUGUUCGGAAUUACUGGGCGUAAAGGGCGCGUANGCUGUGCUGUAAGUCAGGCGUGAAAGGCCCGGGCUCAACCUGGGAAUGGCGCUUGAUACUGCGGCGCUGGAAUGCANGAGAGGAUGGCGGAAUUCCCAGUGUAGAGGUGAAAUUCG
rnacentral:rRNA from 1 species